CAGGGCUGGAACUGGGACCCCACCUACCCUUGGCUCCCGGCCGGUUCUUUUUCCUGCAUGCUAGUCUUUCUCCCACGUUUGCGGGUGUGCGUGCAUGUGUGUUUUCCUAAAAGUAACACGUGCAUUUAGAACACCCAGAAAAACCUAGAGGAGUUGGUUCUUAUUUCGCAUCCCCCCCACACACACACAGCUUCGGCGUCCCUUGUUGGCUGCAAGCCACUCCCUCCGGGUUUGUCCCCUGGGGAAUGGACUUCCCCCAGGCUCCCGCCUCUACCCCUCACCCUUCACCCUUCACCCCUCACCCCUCACCGUGUCAGUGCCGGGGCGGAGACCCAGAUGUUCCGUGGCGCGCAGUGGGCAUGGACACAGCAUAAUGCCUCCUCACCGAUGACAGGGGCCCGACGGGCAGGUCAGUGGGCCUGUGUCAGGUCUCCAGUGCACCAGGACCCCGCAGAGGCACAUUGAGGCAGCUCCUUUCACCAACUGAUCCCAAAUCAAGUGUGUUCGGGGAAGGGACUGACCCAGCCUGGGAGUGCAGCUGCCCCCAAAGCACUCAGUGCCUGGGCAGGCUAUGGAUCUGGGCAGAAAGGCAAGGGGAGCCUAGUGGACCCAACACAGGGCCUGGGGGAGUGGCGAUGUUGACAUGGUGACGCUCUGGAGUAGUUGGGGCCGAGCGAGGGGACACAGAGGAAGGGGAGGGGGCGCGGGGGAGAUCCCCCCACUGCCGUCCCAGUGUCCCCGAGCAGGGGCUGCCUUCCCCAGGCUGCGGGCCCAGGGGCUCCAGCGGGCCCCCUGCUGCUGGAGGAGCCGCCCCCCACUGUCCUGCCAGCACUGCUGGCUCCUGGCCCAGCUCCCCAGGGGGGAGCCCGUCUGCAGGUGAGGAAAGGAGGAGAGCCCUCCAGCGGGUGGGGCGGCUUCCUCUGCACCCCGGCUGGCAGGCAGCUGAGGCCCCGUCCAGGCCGCAGGGCUGCCAGCCGAGCCCUUCGGGGGGCCUGCUCUACAGUCCCCCGGGGAACCUGUAGGCUCCUGAGGCCUGAGAGGGGGGCCCAGUCGAGUACCCCCGGGGGGCCUCGGGCCAGCACGCAGCCGAGGGCGGAGGGUGAGCCCGAGAAGGGCCUGCUCACGUGGUUAAGCGUGUGUGCGCGUGUGUGCGCGUGUGUGUAGGGGGCUGCACCUCAGGGACUGACCUUUGAAUCCUGCUGAGCUCACGGAGGGUGCUCACAGGUAUUUACACACGGUUUGCACUACUGGGGUAGAAAGCCACUCGCUCCGCACGUGGCCACCAGCCCCUGAGCUACACGGACCCGAGGACCCAGGGCAAGGCGUCACGGGAAGAGCCGACAUCCGAGGGGCCCAGGCCAGGCGCAGCUGGGCGGCCGGUCGCCAGGGCCGCACCCCUGGGUGUCGGGGUGGGGCGUCCCAGCCCCAGGCUGGGUGCGGGGCUUCCUUCAAACACAGGGGAGCGUCCAGGCAGGUGUGGGAAAGCACACGAGGCCUAAGAA
rnacentral:lncRNA from 12 species